CUGGUUGCGGCUGUGAAAAGCUGCCUAGACCACGUCUCCAGCAACAGGAUGGAGGAAGGUCCACGGGGAGGGGAGGGACAGAAGUGCCGUGGAGACUCUUGUCCGCUCGGGCUCUUUGAAUCAUGUUUGAUUAUUAUAACCCAAACCAAUGAAUCUUGUUUAACUGGAGGGAAGACAAAGGGACCAAGAAGUGAGAUUUUACUCCAAGUGCGAUGUUGUUGGUGCCAGUAGAUUGUGAAUAGCCACCUGUUGCCAUAUCAAAAAGAGCCACCCUGAAAAUUACAAACAGAAACACCAUCAAUGACUCAAGACAGAAUCCCUAAAUGAUGUUGAAAUAUCACAAAGGAGGAGGAGAUGAUGAAGAGGGAGGACUGAGAAACAGAGGAAACAAACAGAAACCAAACAGUGAAAUGGCAGAGACGAGCACUAACGUCAAAUAGUACACUAAACGUAAGUGGUCUAGAUGUGCCAAUCAGAAGUCACAGACUGCCGAGUGAAUAAAGAAAAUUCUCC
rnacentral:lncRNA from 1 species